AGCUUGCUCUUAUGAAGUUAGCGGCGGACGGGUGAGUAACACGUGGGUAACCUGCCCAUAAGACUGGGAUAACUCCGGGAAACCGGGGCUAAUACCGGAUAACAUUUUGAACUGCAUGGUUCGAAAUUGAAAGGCGGCUUCGGCUGUCACUUAUGGAUGGACCCGCGUCGCAUUAGCUAGUUGGUGAGGUAACGGCUCACCAAGGCAACGAUGCGUAGCCGACCUGAGAGGGUGAUCGGCCACACUGGGACUGAGACACGGCCCAGACUCCUACGGGAGGCAGCAGUAGGGAAUCUUCCGCAAUGGACGAAAGUCUGACGGAGCAACGCCGCGUGAGUGAUGAAGGCUUUCGGGUCGUAAAACUCUGUUGUUAGGGAAGAACAAGUGCUAGUUGAAUAAGCUGGCACCUUGACGGUACCUAACCAGAAAGCCACGGCUAACUACGUGCCAGCAGCUGCGGUAAUACGUAGGUGGCAAGCGUUAUCCGGAAUUAUUGGGCGUAAAGCGCGCGCAGGUGGUUUCUUAAGUCUGAUGUGAAAGCCCACGGCUCAACCGUGGAGGGUCAUUGGAAACUGGGAGACUUG
rnacentral:rRNA from 1 species